GAAAGUGAAGUGAGAGAUGAGGGAGAGGGAGAGAGAUCGAAAAUGGGGUGGAGAAGAGAGAGGAAAAUCCUUUGCAAGAUAUAGAAGGAUUUGGCUAAUCUUUGGAAAGAUUUGUGAAUCUUAGAGAAUAUUUGGCAUUAAUGCCUCUUCUCACUCUAAUCUCUUCUUUCUCUCUCAAAUCUCUACACUUUCCUCUCACUAGUCUCUACACUCUCUCUAAUGUACUCUCAAC
rnacentral:lncRNA from 1 species